rnacentral:rRNA from 1 species
AGUGAACGCUGGCGGUAGGCCUAACACAUGCAAGUCGAACGGCAGCACAGUAAGAGCUUGCUCUUACGGGUGGCGAGUGGCGGACGGGUGAGGAAUACAUCGGAAUCUACUUUUUCGUGGGGGAUAACGUAGGGAAACUUACGCUAAUACCGCAUACGACCUACGGGUGAAAGCAGGGGAUCUUCGGACCUUGCGCGAUUGAAUGAGCCGAUGUCGGAUUAGCUAGUUGGCGGGGUAAAGGCCCACCAAGGCGACGAUCCGUAGCUGGUCUGAGAGGAUGAUCAGCCACACUGGAACUGAGACACGGUCCAGACUCCUACGGGAGGCAGCAGUGGGGAAUAUUGGACAAUGGGCGCAAGCCUGAUCCAGCCAUACCGCGUGGGUGAAGAAGGCCUUCGGGUUGUAAAGCCCCUUUGUUGGGAAAGAAAAGCAGCAGGUUAAGACCCCGCUGUUCUGACGGUACCCAAAGAAUAAGCACCGGCUAACUUCGU